rnacentral:rRNA from 1 species
GUGCCAGCAGCCGCGGUAAUACGUAGGGUGCAAGCGUUAAUCGGAAUUACUGGGCGUAAAGCGUGCGCAGGCGGUUUGGUAAGACAGAUGUGAAAUCCCCGGGCUUAACCUGGGAAUUGCAUUUGUGACUGCCCGGCUAGAGUGUGUCAGAGGGGGGUAGAAUUCCACGUGUAGCAGUGAAAUGCGUAGAUAUGUGGAGGAAUACCGAUGGCGAAGGCAGCCCCCUGGGAUAACACUGACGCUCAUGCACGAAAGCGUGGGGAGCAAACAGGAUUAGAUACCCUGGUAGUCCACGCCCUAAACGAUGUCUACUAGUUGUCGGGUCUUAAUUGACUUGGUAACGCAGCUAACGCGUGAAGUAGACCGCCUGGGGAGUACGGUCGCAAGAUUAAA